rnacentral:rRNA from 1 species
AAUUAAUUUAACUUGGGAGUCAGAACAUGGGUGAUAAGGUCCGUGUUCGAAAGGGAAACAGCCCAGACCACCAGCUAAGGUCCCAAAAUAUAUGUUAAGUGGAAAAGGAUGUGGCGUUGCCCAGACAACUAGGAUGUUGGCUUAGAAGCAGCCAUCAUUUAAAGAGUGCGUAAUAGCUCACUAGUCGAGUGACACUGCGCCGAAAAUGUACCGGGGCUAAACAUAUUACCGAAGCUGUGGAUUGUCCUUUGGACAAUGGUAGGAGAGCGUUCUAAGGGCGUUGAAGCAUGAUCGUAAGGACAUGUGGAGCGCUUAGAAGUGAGAAUGCCGGUGUGAGUAGCGAAAGACGGGUGAGAAUCCCGUCCACCGAUUGACUAAGGUUUCCAGAGGAAGGCUCGUCCGCUCUGGGUUAGUCGGGUCCUAAGCUGAGGCCGACAGGCGUAGGCGAUGGAUAACAGGUUGAUAUUCCUGUACCACCUAUAAUCGUUUUAAUCGAUGGGGGGACGCAGUAGGAUAGGCGAAGCGUGCGAUUGGAUUGCACGUCUAAGCAGUAAGGCUGAGUAUUAGGCAAAUCCGGUACUCGUUAAGGCUGAGCUGUGAUGGGGAGAAGACAUUGAGUCUUCGAGUCGUUGAUUUCACACUGCCGAGAAAAGCCUCUAGAUAGAAAAUAGGUGCCCGUACCGCAAACCGACACAGGUAGUCAAGAUGAGAAUUCUAAGGUGAGCGAGCGAACUCUCGUUAAGGAACUCGGCAAAAUGACCCCGUAACUUCGGGAGAAGGGGUGCUCUUUAGGGUUAACGCCCAGAAGAGCCGCAGUGAAUAGGCCCAAGCGACUGUUUAUCAAAAACACAGGUCUCUGCUAAACCGUAAGGUGAUGUAUAGGGGCUGACGCCUGCCCGGUGCUGGAAGGUUAAGAGGAGUGGUUAGCUUCUGCGAAGCUACGAAUCGAAGCCCCAGUAAACGGCGGCCGUAACUAUAACGGUCCUAAGGUAGCGAAAUUCCUUGUCGGGUAAGUUCCGACCCGCACGAAAGGCGUAACGAUUUGGGCACUGUCUCAACGAGAGACUCGGUGAAAUCAUAGUACCUGUGAAGAUGCAGGUUACCCGCGACAGGACGGAAAGACCCCGUGGAGCUUUACUGUAGCCUGAUAUUGAAAUUCGGCACAGCUUGUACAGGAUAGGUAGGAGCCUUUGAAACGUGAGCGCUAGCUUACGUGGAGGCGCUGGUGGGAUACUACCCUAGCUGUGUUGGCUUUCUAACCCGCACCACUUAUCGUGGUGGGAGACAGUGUCAGGCGGGCAGUUUGACUGGGGCGGUCGCCUCCUAAAAGGUAACGGAGGCGCUCAAAGGUUCCCUCAGAAUGGUUGGAAAUCAUUCAUAGAGUGUAAAGGCAUAAGGGAGCUUGACUGCGAGACCUACAAGUCGAGCAGGGUCGAAAGACGGACUUAGUGAUCCGGUGGUUCCGCAUGGAAGGGCCAUCGCUCAACGGAUAAAAGCUACCCCGGGGAUAACAGGCUUAUCUCCCCCAAGAGUUCACAUCGACGGGGAGGUUUGGCACCUCGAUGUCGGCUCAUCGCAUCCUGGGGCUGUAGUCGGUCCCAAGGGUUGGGCUGUUCGCCCAUUAAAGCGGUACGCGAGCUGGGUUCAGAACGUCGUGAGACAGUUCGGUCCCUAUCCGUCGUGGGCGUAGGAAAUUUGAGAGGAGCUGUCCUUAGUACGAGAGGACCGGGAUGGACAUACCUCUGGUGUACCAGUUGUCGUGCCAACGGCAUAGCUGGGUAGCUAUGUGUGGACGGGAUAAGUGCUGAAAGCAUCUAAGCAUGAAGCCCCCCUCAAGAUGAGAUUUCCCAACUUCGGUUAUAAGAUCCCUCAAAGAUGAUGAGGUUAAUAGGUUCGAGGUGGAAGCAUGGUGACAUGUGGAGCUGACGAAUACUAAUCGAUCGAAGACUUAAUCAA